AUAGCCUAGGCUCGGUAAAAUCUUGAAGCUGAACUUCUCGCAGUGCUGCCGCGUAUCUAUUCUCGCGAAGUCUUUUAAAGGCGCAAGCCAGAGUCUCUUCCUCCGUAGUCGCAAAAAACACAAACCUCCAAAAUGGACGCGAUCAAGAAGAAGAUGCAAGCGAUGAAGCUUGAGAAGGAUAAUGCUAUGGAUAAAGCUGACACCUGCGAGCAACAAGCUAAAGAUGCCAACUUGAGAGCAGAAAAGGUAAACGAGGAGGUUCGUGAACUGAUCAAGAAACUCGGACAAGUCGAAGCUGACUUGGCCAUGAACAAGAACAACUUGGAGCAAGCCAAUAAGGAUCUCGAAGAGAAAGAAAAGACCUUGACCGCCACCGAGUCUGAAGUGGCUGCACUCAACAGGAAGGUGCAACAAAUUGAAGAAGAUUUGGAAAAAUCUGAAGAACGUGCCGGAAGCGCUACCACCAAAUUGCUUGAAGCCACACAAGCUGCCGAUGAAAACAACCGUAUGUGCAAAGUAUUGGAGAACCGCUCACAACAAGAUGAAGAGCGAAUGGACCAAUUGACCAACCAAUUGAAGGAAGCACGUCUCUUGGCUGAAGAUGCUGAUGGUAAAUCUGAUGAAGUUUCACGCAAGUUGGCCUUCGUUGAAGAUGAACUUGAAGUAGCUGAAGACCGUGUUAAGGGAGGUGACAGCAAGAUCAUGGAGUUGGAAGAAGAAUUGAAGGUUGUAGGAAACUCCUUGAAAUCUUUAGAAGUAUCCGAAGAAAAGGCCAACCAAAGAGUAGAAGAAUUCAAACGCCAAUUGAAGACUUUGACCGUCAAACACAAGGAAGCCGAAGCUCGUGCCGAGUUCGCCGAAAAGACCGUCAAGAAACUGCAAAAGGAAGUCGACAGGCUGGAAGACGAACUAUUCCACGAGAAAGAGAAAUACAAAUCGAUCUGCGCAGAUCUCGAUCAAACUUUCGCCGAGCUUACUGGAUACUAACAAAAGCCUCCUUUCUCUACCUUUCCAAAAGACCUCAUCUGCAACCAAAACCUACAUCUUUUUCAUUCUUUCACUUAAAAAAUUCUUUCGAAAUAUCAUAAAUUCGAUCUUCGAAUCUAAUUCAUUGGAAAUAAAAUUUUGUUUCUCCGGUAACAUAUUUCGGUCAUUAUUAAUUUUUUUUCAUGUCAUUUCAAUUUUAUUUAUAUCUUACUUUGUCUUCAAUUUUGCUUUCAAACGUCAGUCAGAGAACGAUUUACAAUUUUAAAUUCAUCAUUUGUAUUUCAAAAUUGUAAAUUUUCUUUAGCCAGUUCAAGCAAGAUUGCAAGUAAACUAUGCAAGAUUAAUAACUUUUCAAAUUUGAAUGACAUAGCCUUCUAUAUUUACUUAUAUCCGUUACUAUCUCUGAGAUUUUUGCUAAUUCUUGGACUGGUAGUUUUAUUCUUCUCUCCAUUUUUUCAUCAAAUUAUCCUCCUCUAAUGUAUCGUCAAAUGUGUUCUUUGCAAUCGAUAUUGUGUUUACUAAAUAACAAAAGCUACAGCUGCUCGGCCGAUUAAAGCAUCGCUCCGCAAUGUCGUAAUGCAAAGACGAAUUGGGCAUCAACAAAGACAGAUACAAGAGCUUGG